rnacentral:rRNA from 1 species
UACCAGCUCUCCGAGUGGUGUGGAUGUUUAUUGGGCCUAAAGCAUCCGUAGCUGGCUGGGCAAGUCCCCUGUUAAAUCCACCGAUUCAAUCGUUGGAGUGCGGGGGAUACUGCUCGGCAAGGGGACGGGAGAGGCCGACGGUAUUUUCGGGGUAGGGGUGAAAUCCUAUAAUCCCGGAAAGACCACCAGUGGCGAAGGCUGUCGGCUAGAACGCGCCCGACGGUGAGGGAUGAAAGCUGGGGGAGCGAACCGGAUUAGAUACCCGGGUAGUCCCAGCUGUAAACGAUGCAGGCUAGGUGUUUGGGCGGCCACGUGCCGCUCUAGUGCCGCAGGGAAGUCGUUAAGCCUGCCGCCUGGGGAGUACGGCCGCAAGGCUGAAACUUAAAGGAAUUGGCGGGGGAGCACCACAAGGGGUGAAGCUUGCGGUUU